GGUUAAGCGACUAAGCGUACACGGUGGAUGCCCUGGCAGUCAGAGGCGAUGAAGGACGUGCUAAUCUGCGAUAAGCGUCGGUAAGGUGAUAUGAACCGUUAUAACCGGCGAUUUCCGAAUGGGGAAACCCAGUGUGAUUCGUCACACUAUCAUUAACUGAAUCCAUAGGUUAAUGAGGCGAACCGGGGGAACUGAAACAUCUAAGUACCCCGAGGAAAAGAAAUCAACCGAGAUUCCCCCAGUAGCGGCGAGCGAACGGGGAGGAGCCCAGAGCCUGAAUCAGUGUGUGUGUUAGUGGAAGCGUCUGGAAAGGCGCGCGAUACAGGGUGACAGCCCCGUACACAAAAAUGCACAUGCUGUGAGCUCGAUGAGUAGGGCGGGACACGUGGUAUCCUGUCUGAAUAUGGGGGGACCAUCCUCCAAGGCUAAAUACUCCUGACUGACCGAUAGUGAACCAGUACCGUGAGGGAAAGGCGAAAAGAACCCCGGCGAGGGGAGUGAAAAAGAACCUGAAACCGUGUACGUACAAGCAGUGGGAGCACGCUUAGGCGUGUGACUGCGUACCUUUUGUAUAAUGGGUCAGCGACUUAUAUUCUGUAGCAAGGUUAACCGAAUAGGGGAGCCGAAGGGAAACCGAGUCUUAACUGGGCGUUAAGUUGCAGGGUAUAGACCCGAAACCCGGUGAUCUAGCCAUGGGCAGGUUGAAGGUUGGGUAACACUAACUGGAGGACCGAACCGACUAAUGUUGAAAAAUUAGCGGAUGACUUGUGGCUGGGGGUGAAAGGCCAAUCAAACCGGGAGAUAGCUGGUUCUCCCCGAAAGCUAUUUAGGUAGCGCCUCGUGAACUCAUCUCCGGGGGUAGAGCACUGUUUCGGCAAGGGGGUCAUCCCGACUUACCAACCCGAUGCAAACUGCGAAUACCGGAGAAUGUUAUCACGGGAGACACACGGCGGGUGCUAACGUCCGUCGUGAAGAGGGAAACAACCCAGACCGCCAGCUAAGGUCCCAAAGUCAUGGUUAAGUGGGAAACGAUGUGGGAAGGCCCAGACAGCCAGGAUGUUGGCUUAGAAGCAGCCAUCAUUUAAAGAAAGCGUAAUAGCUCACUGGUCGAGUCGGCCUGCGCGGAAGAUGUAACGGGGCUAAACCAUGCACCGAAGCUGCGGCAGCGACGCUUAUGCGUUGUUGGGUAGGGGAGCGUUCUGUAAGCCUGUGAAGGUGUGCUGUGAGGCAUGCUGGAGGUAUCAGAAGUGCGAAUGCUGACAUAAGUAACGAUAAAGCGGGUGAAAAGCCCGCUCGCCGGAAGACCAAGGGUUCCUGUCCAACGUUAAUCGGGGCAGGGUGAGUCGACCCCUAAGGCGAGGCCGAAAGGCGUAGUCGAUGGGAAACAGGUUAAUAUUCCUGUACUUGGUGUUACUGCGAAGGGGGGACGGAGAAGGCUAUGUUGGCCGGGCGACGGUUGUCCCGGUUUAAGCGUGUAGGCUGGUUUUCCAGGCAAAUCCGGAAAAUCAAGGCUGAGGCGUGAUGACGAGGCACUACGGUGCUGAAGCAACAAAUGCCCUGCUUCCAGGAAAAGCCUCUAAGCAUCAGGUAACAUCAAAUCGUACCCCAAACCGACACAGGUGGUCAGGUAGAGAAUACCAAGGCGCUUGAGAGAACUCGGGUGAAGGAACUAGGCAAAAUGGUGCCGUAACUUCGGGAGAAGGCACGCUGAUAUGUAGGUGAAGCGACUUGCUCGUGGAGCUGAAAUCAGUCGAAGAUACCAGCUGGCUGCAACUGUUUAUUAAAAACACAGCACUGUGCAAACACGAAAGUGGACGUAUACGGUGUGACGCCUGCCCGGUGCCGGAAGGUUAAUUGAUGGGGUCAGCGCAAGCGAAGCUCUUGAUCGAAGCCCCGGUAAACGGCGGCCGUAACUAUAACGGUCCUAAGGUAGCGAAAUUCCUUGUCGGGUAAGUUCCGACCUGCACGAAUGGCGUAAUGAUGGCCAGGCUGUCUCCACCCGAGACUCAGUGAAAUUGAACUCGCUGUGAAGAUGCAGUGUACCCGCGGCAAGACGGAAAGACCCCGUGAACCUUUACUAUAGCUUGACACUGAACAUUGAGCCUUGAUGUGUAGGAUAGGUGGGAGGCUUGGAAGUGUGGACGCCAGUCUGCAUGGAGCCGACCUUGAAAUACCACCCUUUAAUGUUUGAUGUUCUAACGUUGACCCGUAAUCCGGGUUGCGGACAGUGUCUGGUGGGUAGUUUGACUGGGGCGGUCUCCUCCUAAAGAGUAACGGAGGAGCACGAAGGUUGGCUAAUCCUGGUCGGACAUCAGGAGGUUAGUGCAAUGGCAUAAGCCAGCUUGACUGCGAGCGUGACGGCGCGAGCAGGUGCGAAAGCAGGUCAUAGUGAUCCGGUGGUUCUGAAUGGAAGGGCCAUCGCUCAACGGAUAAAAGGUACUCCGGGGAUAACAGGCUGAUACCGCCCAAGAGUUCAUAUCGACGGCGGUGUUUGGCACCUCGAUGUCGGCUCAUCACAUCCUGGGGCUGAAGUAGGUCCCAAGGGUAUGGCUGUUCGCCAUUUAAAGUGGUACGCGAGCUGGGUUUAGAACGUCGUGAGACAGUUCGGUCCCUAUCUGCCGUGGGCGCUGGAGAACUGAGGGGGGCUGCUCCUAGUACGAGAGGACCGGAGUGGACGCAUCACUGGUGUUCGGGUUGUCAUGCCAAUGGCACUGCCCGGUAGCUAAAUGCGGAAGAGAUAAGUGCUGAAAGCAUCUAAGCACGAAACUUGCCCCGAGAUGAGUUCUCCCUGACCCUUUAAGGGUCCUGAAGGAACGUUGAAGACGACGACGUUGAUAGGCCGGGUGUGUAAGCGCAGCGAUGCGUUGAGCUAACCGGUACUAAUGAACCGUGAGGCUUAACCUU
rnacentral:rRNA from 1 species